rnacentral:rRNA from 1 species
UACGAAGGGGGCUAGCGUUGUUCGGAAUUACUGGGCGUAAAGGGCGCGUAGGCGGCCAACUAAGUCACACGUGAAAUCCCCAGGCUUAACCUGGGAACUGCGUGUGAUACUGGAUGGCUUGAAUUCGGGAGAGGGAUGCGGAAUUCCAGGUGUAGCGGUGAAAUGCGUAGAUAUCUGGAGGAACACCGGUGGCGAAGGCGGCAUCCUGGACCGGUAUUGACGCUGAGGCGCGAAAGCCAGGGGAGCAAACGGGG